GGGGUAGAGCAGUGGUAGCUCGUCAGGCUCAUAACCUGAAGGCCGGAGGUUCAAAUCCUUCCCCCG
rnacentral:tRNA from 2 species